rnacentral:tRNA from 1 species
GGGUAAAGAGCUGUAACAGCGCUUAUUUUGCAAAGAUAAUUUAGGAUUAAUAUAAUCCCUUACCCU